CCUUGAGAGCUUUGAUCCAAGGAGCAUUAGCAGGAGUGCAGAGGGUUAUGGCAGAAGCUCUGUCAUUUUCAACAAUGGAAACUCACAAGGAGUACACCCACAAGGGAGCAAGAAGGAAGGAGAAUGCUCUCAGUAUGCCUUAUUCCAGGGGAAAAAAAAAUGAACUGUUUCUCUCUUCUGUAUGUGGAGCAUUGCUGAGCAUACUCUCGGCUGUAAUCAAACUAUGUCUGUUAAAAGAAAUGACACAAGAAAAUCAUGUGUGUGAUUCUAAGAUCUCCUGGUCAUUUGGGGAUAAUUUGUACAAAGACUUUUACCAACCGCAUAUAAAAGACUCACUCUGUGGAAGUUAUGGAGACACGGCCAUCGCAUCAGUGCAGUUCCAUGAUUUACAAGAUGAAAUGCUCAUUCUGGGGAAUGUGCCAUAAUUUUUAAUAAAAACAAUUAUGAAAUGGAGUUGCUGCCAAGCAAAGCAUUACCAGGGCUGCCAGGAAGUCUUCUGGGGUGCCAGCCCAAAAGAAAACCAGGCAGGGUUUAAGUGUGGCUGGUAAGGAUGGUUGCUUCAGCUCUCUGGUGGAUUUGCACAGGAAUUCCAGCAGAUUGGGGUACUUUUUCACUGAAUUUGAAAAUUUCCAAUGGGGGAAAAAAGAAAUCCGUCUGAAAAUUUCCAGCCUUGUACUACUCUACUUUCCACAGCAGCUGUGGGCAUCUCCUCCUCUGCAUGUUUCGAGGUAAGAAAGGAAAAGAACAUUUUCUAUGCAGGACUCUGCAAUUCACAAAUGGUAGUGACAAACCUGAUCUGGGGACAGGAAAAACAAUGAUGUGCGUGGCUAUCAUGGCUUUCCCCCCGGCGCUCUUUAUUUUCUGCUCUAAUGCGGACCCAUCGUCAUACCUGGUAUGGGGAGAAAUCUCCAGUGACAGCCUCUUGCACUUGAGGAUAUCCAGAGAAAUAAAAACCAGGCUCCUACAGCACAGGAAGUACGUCAGCAUUUUUCAAAUCUGCAACAAGUGCAGUGCAGCAGCUCAGGCCCAGCCCUCAAGCAGUGGCAGCUGGACACCAAAUGGCCUCAAACCAAGUCUUGCCCAAUGCUUUCUUCAGCUCAGAGCUCUCGCUGUGCAUGUCAAACAUGUUUCUUCUAUAGAGAGUCAAGCAGAGUUAGCAGCAAGAAACCCUGCCAUCAGUUUCUGAGUUUACCAGUGGCCGCUCUGCCCCGUGUGCUGGCUUUUUUAUCUCCCUUCCCAAAGCACCACUGAAGCUGUGUUGUCAAAUGACUGAUUGAGUCCAGCAUGCUUAUGUGAUAAGCUACCUGGCCCCUGUUCUAUCUUGACAGCUUAUGUUACACAACAUGAUUUUUUUCCCCUCUGCAUCUUGAAAAGGAAGAUCAGUGUUGAAGAGAAUUUUAAAUUGGCUCACGCUGCAGUGUAGAUUUCAUUACCUACAUAUUGAUCCUCAAGGUGCAUAGUAAUUCUCUGCCUAACGUUACUGGAAUUUUUUGCAUCUUUUCUAGGAACUAAGUAUUGAUCCCUGGAAAAUGAGCAACAAUUAAAAUAAAAUAUAGAUAACUACAAUCCCAGUGGUCACAUUGAAGGGGGAAAUGCUUCAUUCACACCUCCUAAGAGCAUUCAGAACAUGAGUGGAGGGCAGAUUUCUUCCUUCAUCUCUGAUAAAUGGUAUCCAUAAAGUAAUGGCUUUUAAACUUCCUAGGAUUAGUCUACAGUCAAAUUAUUCUUGUGUGACCAAACCAGCUGUAAGAUGAAGUGCUCUUUCCUAUCACGUGAAGCCACUUUCACUACUUAAAAGUUGUUCUUCUGUAUUCCAGCCUCAAUCUGUUACCUAGUAAUUUAAUCUUAAAUGAAGUAUGGGAAAUAGAAACCAUUUUAGAGUCCAUAUUUAGAUAAAAACAGGAUAUGCCAUAAAUGACACCAACACAACUCCAUACAACUCCAUAUACAAGGGCAUAUCCAUACACCAAUAUGUCCUUAAACUUCUUGACUGUGCAAAACCAUAUCUAAUUGUUGGACAGACCUUCAGAUUUUUAACUUUGAGGUUUUGACUGGGAAAAAAAACCUUCACUUUGGCAUCUGAACGUGAAUGAACAUUUGAAUGUGUUAUUCCACCUGAUUGUGAGAGGUUGCAGAGGCUGUCGUAGCUCCUGCACAGCCACCCACCUUGGGUAUAAAUGGAGCCUGGAUCACAUCCGUCCUCAUAGAUGAGGGACACCAUUGCAAAUUUCCCACCAAUGGGAGCUCAGUCUCAGCCUACAGAGGCAGAAGAAGAUCCAGCUAUGGAUCUGGCCUCCUAAUAUCCAGAACAUUGUUUUUCUAUGUUUUGUGCCAAGUUUCUCCUUGGCUCUAUUGCAUCCAUGUGAGAGAUCAAUGAUGUCUAAGAUGUUCAUGGUACUAUGUAAAUAUUUAUCCUAUAGAAUCAAUGUUUUCAAAAUAGUGUUUCUGAGGUUUCUAGCUUACUUCUGAGAGAUCCACGAAGAGUAACUGCAACUAAUGCUCCUUGUCAGUUGGCUUAAAUUCCUCAGCUGGGAAACGCUUAGGGGGGCCACAAAUCCAAGAAGGUUCAAAAUCAAGGCAGUCAAUGGACAGAUAAUGUCAGUCAGUCAGAUACUGUUUGUGCCUGACAGAAGAAAUAUCAGUAGCUGGCAUGACUGAUGAGCAGUGAAGGAAACUUCACCCACAAACAAAAGUAAAUAGAUGGGGUUUGAAAGCUCAGUGUUACAUUCAUUUUGUGACUUCUUAUUUUCUUCUUUAUAAGAGCUGAUUUAGUUUUACUUCUUUGCAUAGUCCUUUGCUCCAAGAACCUGUCAUAAUGACUAAAUACUAAGUGGCCUUUAUGGCAGUGCUAUUAAUAAGGGUGCCCUGCCAGUCACUGUGGGCACCUGAAUGGAGCUCCAGUGAACUGCC
ensembl:lncRNA